rnacentral:rRNA from 1 species
UACGAAGGGGGCUAGCGUUGUUCGGAAUCACUGGGCGUAAAGCGCACGCAGGCGGAUCGAUAAGUCGGGGGUGAAAGCCCGGGGCUCAACCUCGGAAUUGCCUUCGAUACUGUCGGUCUCGAGUCCGGGAGAGGUGAGUGGAAUUCCUAGUGUAGAGGUGAAAUUCGUAGAUAUUAGAAAGAACACCAGUGGCGAAGGCAGGUCUCUGGUCGGUAACUGACGCUGAUGCACGAAAGCGUGGGGAGCAAACAGG